GGACUCUGCGCCCACAGGAAACUCCGCCGCGGUUUCAUCUCUCACACUUUUUUCACUUUCAUUUUUCAAACGAAACUUUCAAACAAAUCAGUUCAGGUAUCGCGGUUUCACUCCGCACCGUUAGAUUUGUAACAUUUUACAGGCCACGCCCUGCGUGUUUUCCCACUCUGAACACCGUGUAGCCCAGGAUUUACAGCCUCUCAUUGUUAUUACCACGCCUGCAGACGUCAUGCUCCGCGUUGUGCCAAAAAACACAAGACUCUGGCAGGGGCCCGGGGUCCCUUACGCACAGCGAGCAGAGCGGGGGAAACAGAGGAGCCCGGCAGAAACACAUGACAUUAAUUAACAGGUUAAACAUCCCGCUCUGCACGGAGCGAUACAGAAAGUUUACCAGAAGGUAAAACUCAUCGGGAAGAAGCUGGAGAUGUUUCUGCUUGGACAUGGAGAGCGUCGCUGACGCAGGGUGGUGUUAUUAAUGUCUGGGGCUGGGUGUAGCCUCUGCCGCUGCACAAAUAUGCAAAAACAAAGCCAGCGGACUCCAAAUCGGCCUCACUACUGUCUCCUGAAGCGAAGAGGAGAAGAACUGCAGCGUUUUCUGGUCAAACAGCAGAAAAUAAAACACAAAACACGAUAAGAGGGUUGGCUGAAGGCAAAACAACCUUCAGUUUGUUUGAUGGAGCAAAACUGACGCAGAACUUCAAGGUUUGAGAAAUCCUUUAGUAUCCAUGGCAACCAUUCAGCUGUUAAAACGCCUGGGUGGGCCUAGCUCCGCCUUCGAGACGCAGCUCCUCCUCAGAGCUGCAGCUUCCAAACUGGAGCUUGAUAGUUGUGUUGAAGUUGUGCUAAUUUGAUCCAAAACCUGCAGAAACAGGAUCACAGCCUGAAACUUCACAGUUCAUCACCACAAACCUCAGUCUGAUGUUCACCUGGAACCUCUUAUGAGCGUUGCAUGGUGUGAACUGCCUUUCCCACAAGAACUAACGUCAAACAGACGCUCCACCAAACCCCCAGUAAAUACUUCACAUCAUCAGAAGGUUUCAUUGGCGCAAUUAAGCUGCAGGCAGAUGUUUUUCUACUCCGUUGUCACGGCUAACCUUUAGGAAAGCUCUCUAGGAGGACCUGGAGCCCACAAAGGACGACUUUCCACUCAAGUGAUUUCAUCAGUAAUGAGGCACUAUAAGCUGCAGAUGUUGUGUCAAACUCUCCGGCAGGCGCCAUGGCAACGGGGUGAACACACACAGCGGAGCUUGCCCAAGGUGAUCCAAACACUCCUGUAUGCGCUGAGCGCGCGCCAAGCGAGCUGAUGUCUCUCAGGCGUCGUCAAUGCAAAGACGCAACACAAACCCGGCAGUUUGGACUUUCUGUUGGAAACACGUUCAGGUUUCAGCUCCGCUGGCUCCCAUGUUCAAAGUUCAGUUCUCGGCUGCACCAGCUUCCAUUCCACUGAUCACCAGGAAAUGAGCUGAAGUUAAAAUUUCUUGCGCUCGGAAGAGGUGCAUUUUUUUCUGCAGUAUAAAUCGGUUUAUUUGACUGAACUGCAAUAGAAACUUUUAUGCAUCACGAGUCACGUGAUCAACAACCGGAUGUUACUACAGGCGGAAAAGAUGAAGAAGACGACAAAUAGGAAAUGUAAGGGGAUUUUUUCAAAUGUGCAAAUUAAAAAUACAGAAAAAAAAUCUUGUUUAU